AUGAUAGAUGGUUGGAGGACUGUGAUGCCACUGCUUCUUUCACCGCCCAAAAUACAGUGCAUGCAUCUUUGUCAUGCGAUUGCAUUGGUGCAUAGAGACUUGAAUGAGGCAGACACAUACAGUUGGCCGGCGUCUACUACUGCGAGCUACUCGGCCAAGUCGGUCUAUGACUACCUUUGCUCGAACCUCUCGAGAUCUCCGACGGCGGCAUGUAUUUGGAGGAGCUGGGCGCCGCUUAAGUGCAAAUUGUUUGUUUGGUUGGCUUUGCAGAACAAGUUGUGGAUGUCGGAUCGACGGGCACGUCAUGGGCUUCAGGACCAAGCAUCGCCCUGCUUCACGUGCCCGCAAGCGGAAGACAAUGUCGACCAUAUCUGGCCAAGUGCACCUUUGCUCAGGAAGUAUGGCACCGCGUGUUUGACCUGCUCAGGCUCAACGUGCAAGGGACGACGCAAAAUGACACUUUCUCAGUUUUGGUGGCUGAGGGAGAGGAAGAAGUUCAGGGGAGCGGAUAGGAGAGGCUUCGAUACUCUGAUGACCGCGAUGGCUUGGACACUAUGGGAGCAAAGCAACGCCAGGAUCUUCAAUGGACAAGAUCAACAGAAGCCGGCACUCCUCGUCCCUAACCUUGGGCUUGGUGUAGGAGGUCUACAACGAUUUGUAAGGAGUUAA
rnacentral:rRNA from 1 species